rnacentral:lncRNA from 1 species
GCCACUAAGAUUCAAGGUAGAUUUUUUUUAUGAUUGUGGGCCAAGAAACACGUUAAACCAGAAUUGUUUUGUCCACAUUUUCCUUGUUCCUAGUAUGCCUUUCAGUAAUAAGUGGGUGAGACUCUGAGACCUACUUUUUUUGAAACCGCUAGUGUAAUUUCCUUCACUGGUUUUUCUGACCAACAUGUUAUAAUUAUUGAGUAUUUACUUUCAACUCCUAUAAAAGGCCUCCUUCAUCUUCAUUCCCUUCAUCCCAAAAUCCCACUGCCCUCACUCAAACACUACUAGAAAACCCUAAUCAACAAUCUGCAACAAAACCCCAUUUCUCUGCAUUUCUUUCCAGAAGCACUCAAGUAAAAAGCCACUUCUGUAACUUUCAGCUUGGAAUUAAGCAGCUGAUCAGAGAGCAGGAAGUUAAGAAACCUUUUUGUUUGAUCACUAACUGCAAUGGCAGAGCAGAUGCAGAUAAGAUUGUUGUGUUCUUGGAUGGAGGUUGCACCUGCAAUUUUGAUAUCCCACAACAAGCCUUCAACUUGUCCUCAAUUGGAAACAAUAACUGAACAGUGGGAGCUGGAGGCUGAGGAGAAAGACCUGCAGGAGUCCAAAAAAUGAACAUUUUACUUCUUCUCAUGUCCUGAUUGUUAAUAUAUAUAUAUAUAUAUAUAUAUUUUUUUUUUUUCUUUCUUUCUAUUUUUGUGUGAAUUGUAGAAGUUUUUGGACUUGGUUUGGACAAAAUUUUUGAGAUCAUCUCCAAACAAAUUAACAAGAUUGUGUAGUUUCAAUGGCAUUGGCUUCCAUCUUAUAAGGUAUUUCUUAUGGCUAGAAUUUUCAAAGGGUUUCGUUCAUAUUGAUUCAUUAGAUGUUGAGUGAUUAGUGACAGCAUCAACUGACUAGAUUUCUGCAAUUCUGUCGACACGAGAGAUGUAAAAGAUGGGCAAGCUACACCUGAAAAGUUUGACAUUCUUCAGGCACACUCAUGACUCGCAUUCUUAAUUUAGUAUAAUAUGACGAUUUGGAAUGAUUGCAUUUCUUUGAUUGAUUACAAUUGUACAAGGAUGUACAAAUAUAUACUGAUUACAUUUAGCCAAACUAGGAAAGAGAAUUAUUCUACUCUAAUUUAGGAGCUAAUAAGGUGUUGACCUGUAGAAGAAGAUGAUUACAACAAUCAUGGGGAUUUCUCUAUGAUUUGAUUUCCAACCCUCCCCCUUAAGUUGGAGAGUGAAUAUCACGAAGUCCCAACUUGCCACUUAAAGCAUGAAAUUGUUCCUUUCCCAAUGGUUUCAUAAAUAUGUCUGCUACUUGUGCGUGCGAAGGAACAUAGGAUGGUGAAAUCAAUCCAGCUUGCAAUUUUUCUCACACGAUAUGACAAUCAAUUUCAAUGUGUUUUGUGCAUUCAUGAAAUACUUGAUUUGCUGCAAUGUAGAGAGUUGCCUGAUUAUCACAAAAGAGAGAUGUCGGUUGAUUUUGUGGGACUUUCAAGUCUUCAAGAAUAUAUCGUAUCCAAGUUAAUUCCAAACAUGUCAAUGCCAUAGAACGGUAUUUUGCAUCUGCUAAUGAGCGUGCCCAAUCAGAAUCACAAAAGGCUCGUAGUGUGAGAUUAUUAGAAGAAGGGAAGAAUAACCCUUGACAUGGAGCCCCUUUUAUAAAUCUUAAUACUCGUAGGCAACUUCCCAAUGUGGCUUCCGUGGAUUUUGCAUGAAUUGACUAAAAUUCCAAUUGAACAAACAAUAUAAGGCCUUGUGAUUGUUAAGUAUAUUAAUCUCCCUACCAAUCUUCUAUAUUUUGUAGGAUCAUGGAGACGAUCGCCAUCAUCAAGGUUCAACUUCAAAUGUUCCUCCAUUGGAAAAGUACUUGGUCGAGCUCCCAAUAAACAUGCAUCUUUUAAAAUAUCCAAAGCAUAUUUUCGUUGGGAUAUGAAGAUACCCUUUCUUGAUCGUGAUACUUCAAAUGCCCAGAAAAUAUUUUAAGUUUCUCAAAUCUUUGAUACCAAAUUGUAGUAGGAGAGAGUCUUUGAGAUUUUUGAUUGCAUUUUCAUCAUUUCCUGUCACAAUUAUGUCAUUAACAUAAAUAAGAACGACAAUAAAAGAGUUUCCAUGUAUCUGUGUAAAGAGGAAAUAAUCUGCCUUGGAUUGUUGAAAACCUGCUCCUUGAAUAGCAUGAGAAAAUUUUGCAAACCAAUUUCGGGAAGCCUGUUUCAAUCCAUAUAGGGAUUUUUUGAGCCGACAUACGAAAUUCUCCUCUUGUCGACGAAGACCAGGUGGAAUUUCCAUAUAGACUGCUUUAUCAAGGUCCCUGAUAGACGCAUAUUUAUGCGACUUAGUUAACUAGUUUUCUUGCAUUUACGUUAUUAGUUCUUAGUUAUUUUAGUACUUUAAGCCAUUUUCGUGUGUUUGUAGGUCCAAAGGGCUAAGGUAGCAAGAAAGUGCAUUUUGGUGCAUUUUGGAGCAGUUUUGAGCUUGGAAUGGAUUACAUAUGAUAUGAGCAAGAUGGAAGGACGAAUUUGAAGACAAAAGAGGCUAAGAACAUGCUAAAAAUCUGGUGAAACAAAUACAAGUUGCAAGAAGGGAUAAAUUUCUAGAAGGAUUGGCCAAAACUUCACUCAAAACACAUCAAUGCCGUGGCUUUUACUUCCACCUCCACCAGAAAUUUGAGUAAUGAUGCAAUGCUUAACUCACCAUGACAUGUGAGUGGAUGAUGCAAUGCUUAGCUCACCAUGACAUGUGAGUGGAUGAUGCAAUGCUUAGCUAACCAUGACAUGUGAGUGGAUGACUCAAUACCUAACCCACCAACAAUUCCCACUCUUUGCCAUGCUCACCUACUCAAUUCCACCAACAUUUUGUGUUAAACAAGUCCAUCCUCUUCCUAUAAAUACCAUGGCAUCAACCUCAUUCAAAUCAUCCAGAAAUUAACCAUUCUCCAAGCCUUUCCUUGCCUCUCCUACAUAUCUAAACCCCUUCCCAUCCAUUCCUCCAAAUAACCAACCCUUCAACAUCAUUCCAACCUUGUUGUUGCGGCAAAGAGAAGGAGAAAAGUCCUUAGACGCACUUGCUAUCCAACAUGGAUCGUUGGAACGUUUAGGUGCUUUCUUUCCUUUGUUUUUCAAUGUUUAAAUUUGUUUAUCUUUGUUUUGUAAUAAUGAGGAACUAAACCCCCCUUGGCUAGGGGGGGAUUCGAAACCAUGUUAAUGCUUGCAAUAUGAUUUGAUUACUUUUAAUUGCGUUUCAUAAGUUAUGAAUUUGAUUUACUUAUCUAUUUGAUUGAUAACAUGUUUAUGUAUGUUGAUUAGGGAUGCAUACUUAGUUUGCAUGCAUAAAUAUGAUGCUAGAGUAUAAGGGAAUUUCACCUAAUCGUUAUGAACUUAUAUUCAUGAGUAGUAAAAGUCGCUAGUCACGAUUGUGUUAAGUAAAUCCUUGGCAUAAGUUUCAUGCAAAUCAUAGUAACGAGUGCCUCGUCAAUGCUUAUGUUUUUCAUAGAACUUAAUGAUUCUUGCUUGUAUCUCUAUUAUGCAAUUCAUGUAGGGAACUUGUAGGGAAUGUUUUGGGUUGUCGUAUGCAAUCAUCCAACCCAAUAACUUGUGGAAAAACUAAGGGUUAAUUAGUGCAAUUCACGGUUAAUUUGGGGCGUUGAGAAUUAAUAAGUUAUUGAAAUGCAAUUGGAAAUCAUUUUGUAUGCAAGCAAGACAUGUGUGGAGAAGAACCCCUUAGCUAGCCUUCCAUUAUCCAUUCAACCCAAAUUUGUUUAAAAUCUAUUUAAGUUUUUAGUUUAUUCGUUUUUACUUUCAACUUCACCAAACUCAAAUCCCCCUUUUACUUUCUUGUUUUAAAAUCUUUUGUUUACAUUUUUAACUUUGUUUUUAUGUUUUUAAAUUAGUUUUCAAGUGAUUUAGCAAUCCCUCCUAAUCCCCGGUUUAGAACGAUCCCUACUUACAUCUAUACUACAAUUGUCAAAAAGAGGGUUAAAUUUGUGUGCUUAUAUAUUUCGCAUCAGUCCCCAUGUAGAAAGCAUGUUGGACAUCCAAUUGAUGAAGGAACCAAUUCCGAGAGGCAACAACGGCAAGUAGACAAGGGAUAGUGGUAAGUUUGGUUGCAGGAGAAAAAGUUUCCAAAUAAUCAACACAUUCAAUCUGAGUAUAGCCCUUAGCAACAAGACGAGCUUUGUAACGCUCGAUAGACCCAUCAGAAUUAUACUUGAUUUUAUAGACCCAUUUGCAACCAAUGGGCUUAUGACCAGGUGGUAAAGGAACAAGUGUCCAGGUAUUAUUCUGCUUUAGGGCAUCAAGUUCAGCUUUCAUGGCAUUUCUCCAAUGGGGAUCAACUUCAGCUUGAGAAAAGGAAGUGGGUUCAAUGACACAUGUAAUGUUAGAUAAAAAUGCAUGGUGGGAAAGAGAAAAAUGAGAAUAAGAAAGAAAAUUAGAUAGCGGAUAACGAGUACCUUAAGAAAGAGGUGGCGCCGAGGUUAAUGAAAGGUUGGGUUGCGACGUCACUAUAUAUAUGUGAUAGUCUUUGUGCCAUGAAUGUGGGUGAACGGUACGAUUAGAAUGACGAGAAACAUCAAGUGUUGGAGAUGUUUGUGGAGGAUGCAAAAUAAGUGGAGAGGGUUGAGGGUCAGAGGAUGACUCAUCCAUGGGAGCUGGUGUGGGUGCAUGAGGAGUUGGUAGGAUUGCAUCAACUGGAGUAGAUAGAGAUGUAGGGGAAAGAUCAGUCGUGGUAGGGAUGAGAUUGGAUGGGAUAAAAGGAAUAAUGGGCUAAUGGAUAUCUGAUUGAGGUAGUGGAAGAACAUGGUCAGAAGUGGGAUUUAUAUGUUUGAAAAGGAAGUCUUCUUCGUGAAAACAAAUGUCUAUCCUAACAAAAAAAUUUUUGAGUGUCCAAAUUGAAUAAUUUGUAACCCUUUUGCUCAGUAGGAUACCCAACAAAAAACAAAGGUGAGCGCAAGAAUCAAACUUAUGUUAGGGGUGAACAAUAGUGGCAUAACAAAGACAUCCAAAAACCCUUAAAUGAUCGUAGGAGGGCGGACGAAGGUAAAGUCGCUCGAAAGGUGUUUUGUUGGAUAAUAUAGGUGUAGGUAUUUGGUUUAUGAGGUAAACGGUAGUAAGAUUACACUCCCCCCCCCCGCCCCCCACAAAAAAAAGAGAUGGGCAAAUUGGAUUGUAAACGUGAUGCAAGGGCUACAUUAAGGAUGUGACGAUACUUUCUUUCAACAACACCAUUUUGUUGAGGUGUAUAGACACAAGUAUGUCGAAAUUUGACUCCAUUGGUAAGGAAAAAAUGUUUUAAAGAUAAACACUCAGAGCCAUUUUAGAGCGGAUUGUUUUGAUGGUGGUAUUAAAUUGUGUGCAAAUGAAUUGAAAGAAAUAUUGAAUUAAUGAGGGAGACUCAAAUUUAUGAACCAUUAAAAGAACCCAUGUGCACCGUGUAUAAUUAUCCACAAUGGUUAAGAAAUAAUGAGCCCCCAAAUGUGUACAGUGUUUAUGUGGACCCCAUAUGUCAUAGUGAAUUAACUUAAACGGUGCAUUAGAAGAAAUAUAACUGUUCACAAAAGGGGCCCUUUCUUGUUUUGCCAUAGGGCAAACAACACAAUUAUUAUUAUCCAAAGUUCUAGAUAAAAUAGGAAUAGAAGAAGAAAGUAAACACAAAUGGGCUGAAGAUGGAUGGCCAAGACGAUGGUGUCGGGUGUGGGUGGAGAUGGUGGCAUGGCAAGUGACUGAGUUGUGGUUGACAGGCGACAUGAAGUAUAAACCUUCGCAUUGUUUACCCCAACCAAUCAUCUGCCCCGAAGCCAAGUCCUAGAUGACACAAAAAUUAGGAAAAAGAAUUAUACAACAAUGCAAGUAUUUAGUUACUUUAUUAGCAGACAUAAGAUUUAACCUGAAAGAGGAAACAUGGAGAAAUUAUCAAGUAGGGGUGGGCACGGGCCGGGUUGGGCCCAAAAUUGAAGGAACUAGAUCGAACAUGUUUGUAAAUAAAACGGGACGGGGUGGGGCAGGGUGGGUUUUGGAUUUUUCAAAAUGAGACCCGGACCUAACCUAGCCUUUUUGAAACGCGUUGGUUCCUAUGGGUCCCCACAAGUCCAAAUCUUCACUCACCCUAGCGAGGACGUUGACUUUAAGGCGGUGGAGGUCAGAUAUGGAAGAGGGGAAACCGUCGGACAACAACUACACAGAUUGAAAGCAAGGAUAAAAGCUAACAAAAUUUGAAUCCUCAUAUCACAACCCAGAAUUCCUAGGAAGUUCUAGUUAAAUUAACCAUUCCUAAAGAACCUAGAUUUUAACCUCCCACAACCUGUCCCCACUUAGAUUGACUCAAUUCACCAUAGAGAAUGUGGUGGUCGACGAUUUUACUGCUCAAUCAGACAAAUCUGUCUCAGUUUUCUCAACAAUCCAUCAUAAAAAAUAAAAAUUAUCAAAUGAAUUACAGAAACAAAACAUAAUCAGUACAAGAUUAAACCUUUAGCUGUUCAUCUGAUUAAAUUGGAAAAUAAUAUUAAAAAAGAAAAAAACAAAUCCACCUAACUCAAAUUCAUUAACGGAAAUCCAUAGCUUAAUCCAAACAUACCCAAUUGCAAUUUUGAAAUAAGAAGAAAUAUGAACAUAACCAAUUGCAAACUCAAAUUCACCAAAGAAUAUUCAUCAUAUUGCUCGAUCAAGAAAAAGUCCUACCACUUGUUUAACGUCAAGAAGAACCCAAAUGAGUCACUUCGCGGAUAUAUGAAGAGGUUCAAAGCAGAGAAGGCAAAGAUAGUUGAAUACAACGACUUGAUAGCUAGAGCAACCUUCCAAAAAGGACUCCCCGCAGACCACCCGCUGUUCAGAGAAUUGAUCAUGAAAGAAGAUUUAACUCUGGCAGACUCUUUCGCUCUGGUAGAGAAGCAUGCACUUUGGGAUGAGGUUCGCCAAUGCAUAUUCAAGGCAAAUCCAAGCGAUCUUGAAUAUGAAGUCCCCCACUACUCUGAAGGAGAUUCAAGGUCUGACUGGACAAGCAACCGUAUCUGAAGCAGCAAUAAGCUCUACCCUCAUAUGAGAAGAACUGAGGGCCCAACUACUUGUAUUCCACAGUUCAAAAGCUUUCAUCGAUGCGGAAACCAGCUACUAGAAAUUUAAAAGCUAACUUUGGCAACAAUUGUUGUAACCCGAAAGCUCAAGUUAUACCUUCAGACACACACAGUCAUCCUCAUGACGUACUAUUCUGCCCAAUCCAAAUAUGUGACAAUAAAGGUGCAUACACUGGCGGUGCAAAGUUUUUUGACGAACUCAACAACUCAGCUCAAAAGGCACGCCAAGGGCAGACGAACACUAGAAGGACACUCGGAAGCAAGUUUUGUCCUCGUCACCCUAAAAUAUUCUACAUAGGGGCAACAUGUACCGGUAAGUUGAGCACCACCUCCUGUUACGCGUCACAUGGCUCCAGCCAACCCUUGCUUCAUAAUUUAGUUCAAGAGCGGCCAGGUACCGGCAGUUGAGCAUUACCUGCUACGUGUAACAUGGCCCCAGCUCCAUGACCCUUUACCAUGCCUUCACACCUAGCCUAGGCGAUGCAACAGAGCGACCUAACGAGAUGAUCUGAAGGUAGCCGACCACGCCCUAGCCACGUCUGCUUCACCCGACUACAAGGGCUUAGAAGCAUUUGCACAUUGGCAAUGCAUCCAACUACAAGGGUUUGGAAGUAGGUGUGACCCUUAUUACCCCAGAUAGUUCGAUGCUCGAGCAGGCAAUCACUCUAGACUUCAAAGCAUCUAACAACGAAGCAGAGUACGAAGCUCUACUAGCAGGUAUCCGAAUGGCAAAAGACUUGGCAAUGAAAAAGCUUGCAAUUCAUUCUAAUUCCCAGCUAAUCACCAACUAGACUAUUGGGGAGUACACAGCAAGACAUCCAAGGAUGGCGCAAUACUUAGAGAAAGUAUGCAAAUAACUUGAGGUAUUUCAAACUUACAGCCUCACUUUAGUCCCGCGGGCAGACAACGUCUACACGGACGUACUAGCCGGCCUAGGCUCUACCCAUAACCACUAACUUAAACGUUCUAUCCCGGUGGAGUAUCUAGAUAAGCCAAUCAUAAAGGCGCAGCCGGCAACCGAAAUGUCACAGGUUAGUACAACUCUAAACUGGCAAAAUUUUAUUAUAGACUACCUGGUCAAUAGCACACUCCCCACAGAAAGGUUGGAGUCUAGAAAACUCCAAAUAAAGGUAGCAUGCUACUACAUGUGGAACGACAUUCUCGCUCGAAGAUCCUACACUAGACCACAUCUCCGUUGCCUAGCGCCUCUUGACGACCUAAAGGUUUUAAGCUCAAUCCACGAAGGCAUUUGUGGAAAUCACUCAAAAGGUCGAUCCUUAGCGCAAAUGACUCUUAACGCAGACUACUAUUGGCCUACCAUGCAUCAAGACACUAAGGAGUUAGUGUAAAAGUGUGAGCACUACCAACGUUACAAGCUGGUACCAGUAUUGCCUGCCAACGAGCUACACUCAUAGACGAGUCUUUCGCCGUUCAUGUAGUGGGCAAUCGACUUGGUAUGGCCAAUGCCGCCUGCUACUAGGGGUAUAAGCAUGAUGAUCGUGGUAACUGAUUACUUCACCAAAUGGGUAGAAGCAGAGCCCAUGACUACCAUGACUUAGACGGACAUAUAACGCUUUAUAUAGAGGAACGUCAUUUGCUGAUUUAGCAUCUUUCAAUCCAUCGUCACCGAUAAUGGCUCGCAAUUCAUAGGCAAAGAUCUAGCGAAGUUCUUCCAAAAAGUAUGGCAUCAAGUAGCAUAUGUCCAUGCUAAGAUAUCCUUAAGGUAAUGGGUAGGCCAAAGCAUCCAACAAGACGAUACUAGAUUGCCUCAAGAAAUCCCUCUCCGAAUAAAAGGGAAAAUGGCCAGACAAAUUCCUCGGAUGUUUAUGGGCAUAUCGCAACACCAAACAACGAGCCACCCGUGAGACUUCUUUCUUUUUGGCAUUUGAUUUAGAAGCAAUCAUUCCUCCUAAUGUCAUCGUGCCAAGUAUCAGCACUCUACUGCCAAGCAUCGAGCAGAACAGUAAGGAGAUGACUAUAAGCUUAGAUAUGGCAAAGGAGAAACGUGAGCAGACCAUCACCUACAUUGCAGCCUAUUAGCAGCAACUCCUCUCCAGCUACAACAAAAGAGCAAGAUCUGGCAGUUCCAGCCCAAACUUCUAGUCCUAAGAAAAUCCUUCAUCAUUGCCCGUAAAGAAGGCUCCAAAAAGAUGGAUCCCAUCUGGGAAGGUCCGUACAAGAUCAAUAGAGUAGGCGGUAAGGGUAAUUACACCUUCGCCACUAUGAACGACAAAGAGAUCAAAAAGCAGUGGAACGCCUACAAUCUGAGGAAGUACUAUGUGUGACCUCCCACUACAUCAAAGCUUGAAGACUCAAGCACCUCGACGGGCACCACCUCACAAGCCGAUGACUAUCCAGUUGUUAUGCAGUUCAUGCAUUACAGCUAAGUUCUCGUUCGUUUCACUCAUUUUUCAAUAAGGAAUUUAGAAGUAAUCUACAACUUGGCUCGGCUGCAUGCUUAUAACAACUGAUCACUUUUACACUUCUAAAGAAGACCGCGCCCUUCUUAGGGACUCAUCGUAAGAAUUGCACCCCUCGAGAGACCAACCAUGCUCUUCAGUGCGAGAGGGUAAACCAAUUCCCGACACCCAUCUGGGUUUUCUCUCCAAUGCGAGAGGAUAAACUAAUUGCUCUUCAGUGCGAGAGGGUAAACCAAUUCCUCGACACCCACAUGGGUCUGCUCUCUAAGGUAGGAGAAUAAACUUACACUUUGAAUAUCUAAAUGUGGAUGAGCCGGGCUGCCCUAUUAUAACUAGAUGCACAAUAACUUGUGUUGGGAUUCCUAAAAAUAGCCACAAUGGUCUUUUUCAAAGCUUAGCUAACUGAAGGAUUUUGAGUCUUUUGGCCUAAUCCGCAGGCAGCUGGGCCCUAGACACAGAAGGGGCACAUUACACAGUACGCCCUAUGGACGGCUGCCCUAGAACCCUAAAGCUGCUACCAAGUGCAAUAAGGUUCCCUACGGUUUCCAGAAGACUGCCUACGGCUUGCUCUUCGACAGCAACGCCGCAGAAGACUUAUACAACCGCAUAUUCUCGUGAAAGGUUAAACAAACUAGCGUGUAUAUAUAAAGUUUAUCCAUUGUCGAUAUGAUACGUAGUCGAUAAGCUUCACCUCUGCCAAGGGUGGAACGACCUACACCAAGUCCUAAAGUGUUGUGAUACUUGCGACACAACCUACGAAGUUGGAGAAAGCCAAGGUUAACAACUUAGUGGUUACGCGGACUCGUCUGCUUCUGUAAGUAAUGCGUUCGGCUGCCGACCCUAUGGCUAACAACUUUGCAAAGUUCUAACCUAACACCUACGGUUGCAUAGGCUACGCGAGCCUGUCUGCUUAUAGAAAAGUAGCACGCCUGCCACUGGUCUAUAAAGUCUAAAGGUUAGGGCAUGAACAAAAGAAGCGAAGAUGGAAAAAAGCGAAGGAUACAAAUUUAUUAAAUUUUCUAGCAAAAUUGAUAAACAACUAGCAAAGGCCAAAUGAGUUUAAGAAAAACAAGAGCAACAAGGAAAACAAAGAAAAUCAUAAAGGCUACCUAGAAAACUACCCUUCAACAGCUUGAACAUCCCACGACUACUCAGCCGCCACACAUUUAGCAACCGCAAAGCUCCCAACAGUGGCAUUAUCCGGCGUUUCACCCUCGGCUGCUCCAGCUUGGGCAUCAACCUCUCCGACUACUUCACCAAUAGAGGCCUCAAAAGUAAAGGAAAACAAUUCUUCCAGAGAAAUAGAGAAUGUUUCGAAGUCUUCCAAGCAAACUCGAAGUCAGAUGGCCUACUAAAGAGAUGAUCUACAUAACCCAGCUUGUAGAAAUCGGCUUGACUCUGAACAAGUGAAGCCUCGAGCCCAGCCUUUUCACCUUUCAGUUGCUUGUUCUCCUCAAGCAGACCAACAUGGAUGCGCUGCAGCUCAUCCACUUCUUUCUUCAAACUUUCGUUGAUCUUCAAAGCCAAUCAACGACCUUCUUGAAGUGGAUCACUUGGUUAUAAUCAAUAAUCAACUAUUCAUCCUUUGCAUAAGCAGUGGAACGAAGCUCAGAAACGGCACGCUCAAGAUCUUGAAUCUGAGGUAUGUGACAUCCGAUCUUCUACUCUGCACUUUCAUACUUAAGUUGGAUCGCGUCAAGCCUAGUCUUCAAGUCAACGAUCUCUUGGUGAGCGGUCUCAUGCUGCAGAGAAGUGGGGGUAGAGAUAUUAGACCCCUUUCAAAGCGACGAGCUCAGAUUCUAACUUCUUGAUCUUUUCGACAGAAGAAUAAACUUCAGCUACCAUAACCAUUGUCACCUCAUUGACAUCCUUGGUAUCCUUUUGGUUAAGGAGCAUAUACUCGGCUGCCAGACUAGUCGUCUUCUGCAUCAUGGCAAGUAGGGCAAUCUUUCUAUACUAGGUCGUAUACUUCACAAAGGAACUUGGGAAAACAACACCUCUAAUGCCAUAGACAAACUUGGCACAAGCAUCUAUGUCUUCAAAUAGAUAUGGUUUUAAAAGCGCACAGAUCUCAAUAACCUUCCCAAAAGCAAGCUUAGUAGACUUCUCACAGCUGCUCACGUGAGUAGUCUACUCCUUCUUAAUUGGCGAAUCAGUCUUAGCAAUAGGGGGACUGGGCCUUGGCGCCACUUUAGCAGUAGAGUCUAUCUUAUCGCUCUUCAUAAUAGCAAGCCUCUCCAAAGGUGAACCAAACUUAGCUUCUAACGGAGAUCUUGGUAUAGACUUCAGCAUGGGGGGCAUGACAUGACCUCUACGCUGAGCAAUCAUAUCAGCAAUCGUACUAGCCAUUCUUGACAUGGCAAGUACCACAAGCUCAUAUCUAGUAGCCUCAUGUUUCUUCCCAUUGGAAGAAGUCAUGUCAAUCACAGGCCUUUCGGUAGUAGGCAGACCCUCACGAGUAGCGGAGGAAGUUUUGAGUUUUUUCUCAACCGGCAUCUUUUGAGCAGGUGAGGAAUAUCUCUUCUUUCCACCUUCAUUCAUAGUAGGCUCCACAACAGCGAUCAGACGAUCUAAUGCAUCCGCCUUGAUCUUCUUUACCUCUUAUCUUGGGAGCAGCCUACCUUCUCCUAGCGAAGAGGACUAAGUAGCCAACGCCAUUCAUGGUACUCAGCGGGGGAGCUCAACCCAUACUGGCUUUUCCCUCAUUUUUUCUCUCAGACCAGCAGGUAAGAUGCCUGCAUGCCCAGCAUUCCAAGAACCCAUGAGGCCCGCGACCUUAUCAUUUCUCUCAAUCGCCGGCCUGGCCCUUGUCAAGUCCAAGAGCCCAAAGGACAUGAGCCAUGCGGCUCGCCUAGCACUGCGCCCCAACACCUUAAUCCGCGACCCCAACUGUACAAGCUGCUCUUGGCUUUAGCCAAGCCGGGUAGCCCAAGCAGUGGUCUUUGCCACAACACCUCCUCGGCCCAUGCCGAGCGGACUCCUGGCCCCUACCAGCUGAUGUGCCGCACUACCUCGACGGUUGCCCCGCGACAGCACUAUCCAAGAAAAAGACAAGGAAAAUUAAAUUUUUCUUACCUUGAUGCGGCGCGAAGAAGAAAAAGAAAGCAACGAAAGACGGUUAUUUACACGGGCAAGUGCAGAAGAUUGCUAAGGGAGGGGGAACAAAUAUCCUCUAGCUUUCUCUCUCUUAUAUGGUAGAAUAAAUUGCUCUCUAAAGUUGAUUUAAUCAUCUACUUAAGGUGGACUUAAAUAGCCCUUAGAAGUGAUUUAUUUUCCUUUCCUAGAAGGAUCUAAUUUCCAAUUAAAGAGGGCAUUUAAAUCAAAAUAGGAAACAAUCAUAUGUUUCAUAAAGUAAUAAGAUCUCUACACAUGCUACCCUUUCCUACGACCAGCCCAACAUGUGUGGGGGCAUUGGCAUUUGUGGAGCCAAAAAUAAUCAAGAAGAAUAUGGAGGCGACAUGUGGAUUUUUGGGUAAAAAAGACAAGAUUACCCUCGAGGCACAUCGGGAUUUCUACACGCAAGCAGUGGGCAAUCAUCCCCCAAUCAAGUUAAAAGUGCCCAAAAUAGGUAUUUAUUCAAAACCUAUUUCAUCUAUCGUCAUCAAAUCUUCUCCACAAGGUAGCUCUCAAAUCAUUCAUUUCUAAUUAUAUUAAUUAGCUAACAAAUCAUGAAUCUCACCCAAAAAACCAUCCAAGUGGCCGGUCCCCAUCCUCCCAAAGGGGCCAACCACACCCCUAUAUAAACCACCUCAUUUUCUCCAAACUCAAUUCCAGUUCUCUUGCUAAAUUCUCUAAAUUCUCCAAACACUUUUCCCUCAAAAUUCUAACUUUGUCAUCAGAGGUUCUUCGGCCAAAGCCCCCCCCACCAAUUCAUCGUGGGCACGUGAGGUUCUUGGCCUUGACCUAAUAUGUUAUUUGUUUUGUAGGUGCAAUUUUGUCCAAAAGCAAGGAGGAAGAAAUUUGCAUCCACAUUUGUCACCCUUUUAACCUAAAAGACAACAAACCUCUCUUUGAAUCCAAACCUGAACAAUUUCCGUUUUCAGGUUUUGUUGUUGUUAAUGUUAAUAAAACUUGAUUUAUUGUGUAUUUUUUGUUAUUUUCAUUAAAUAAAAAUUGUUGAAUGUUUUGGUUAAAAAAAGUUUGUAUUUUUCAUUUUUUAUUAACAAAUGAUAUUAUCUUCUUAAAGGGGAGGGAGAUAGACUUAGUCUCACAAUGGACUAGCAAUAAUGUGGUUCAAAUUUGCCUUUGGCAAGAAUCAAACAUAAAACCUCUCACUUACAAGUGAAGAGGAAAAAAGAGAAAAUAUCUUUACACCAAAGGCUACGCCUACUUAAUUGAUAAAGGGUCCGAGAUGAUUAAAAAUUUUAAGUGACAAUAUAACACAAUGUGACAUGUUGAUGUGUGUAAUCACUCGCUAAUUAUGACAUUGGUAAUGCUAGAGAGAUUUAUUUUAACCAAAUUUAUAAAUCAUAUGACGUGGUUGUUGAUGAUUGAAUUAUUACUUAAAUGUUGAUUAACAUACUCAUUUUCUAUUGGUGACACACUACAUGGUUUAUAAAUUUGGUUAAUAAAUAUUGGUCUACCGUAUAUUACCCGUAUUAAUGUUUUGUUCAAGACAUAUUCACGUUAAAGUUUUAUUAGAUUUAUAACACUAUGUCUGCAAAGUAUGUAAUAUAUUUAUAAUCACGUACACUUAUAAAUUCUUUGCUUCCCAAACUAAGAAACUCAAAGCUCCAACCUAUUUUUCUUUUGUUCAACUAGUGAGAUACUUACCAAGAAACUUUUAUAAUAUGUCAUUAACUCACAAUGAAGCACAACGAGCUAUAAUUUAAUAUCAAAAUUAUUAUAAAUAUAUUACUCAGUUGAACUUGAAACCUCAUCGUUGCAAGUAAAAAUUUAAUGUCGCUUGACUAGACGCAAAUUUCUACAAUACUGUGAAAAAUUUAAUCCCUAAUUCAAGUUGGUUCUUUUCUUUUUUUCUUAAAUCAUAGUUCGAGAAGUUUUUGGUUCUCCACAACUACCAAGUAAAGGACAGACGUCACAACAGUAACAAGACAAAGUUCUCGAUAAGAGAAGGGGAUCCUCUCCGGAUCCCUUCCACCAAGUCCACCAAAUCCACUCAUCCGAGCUAUUGAAAUUUGAUCAAACAGCUACAAACAAAAGAUCAUUUUAAAAGAUAGUAACUUUAGCUGUUUAAUCAAAUUUCAAUGGUCCGAAUGAGUGAACUUGAUGAACUUGGUGGAAGAAAUUCCCGAAAAUCCCGAAUAUCGGAAGCUUUUUCGGUUUGGUUCGGGAUUUUCGGGAAUUUUUUCCACCCCUACCUAAAUAUGUGGUUUCAUUACCCUCGGAAGCUUAGAAAAUAGAACCAACAACCCCAGCAUGAAGUCUAUAUGUUGAUGGCUCGUCCAACCAACAUGGUUGUGGAGCAGGACUAGUCCUUACGACCCCUGACAAAGUGGCGAUGGAGUAUGCUCUUCGUUUCAAAUUCAAGGCAUCAAACAAUAAGGCUGAAUAUGAAGCCCUCAUAGCAGGCUUACGUUUGGCCAAACACCUUAAGGUUAAACGAAUUGACAUCUUCAGUGACUCCCAAUUGGUGGUUAACCAGGUCACCAACAACUUUGACGCUAAGGAUAGCUCCAUGGCAGCAUAUCUGGCAUAAACAUAAUUGUUGCUCAAGCACUUCCACUACCAGAUCACCCAAAUUCCUCGAGCGGAAAACCGUCAUGCAGAUGGUUUGGCUUGCUUCGCCUCAGUGGUAGAAGACAAGAUUGGGAGAAAAAUUCAGGUCGAAUUGUUGGCAGCACCAAUCACUAUAGCUGCAGAAGUGUGCAACUUACAACAGGGGGAUCGUUGGAUUACCCCGAUUUAUAGAUUCCUUGCUCAUGGCACCCUUCCAAAUGACAAAGUCCAAGCUAAGCAGAUUUGAUACAAGGCUACCCGUUACUUGAUCAUUAAUGACCAACUCUACAAGCGGGGUUUUAACCUACCAUACUUAAGAUGCCUUACGCCCGCAGAGGUGGAAAUUGUCCUUUGGGAAAUACAUGAAGAAGUCUGUGGAGAUCAUGCUGGAUCUCGAUCCCUAGCACAAGGCUUUUCGCCAAGGAUAUUACUGGCCAACACUCCACUAAGAUGCCAUCAGAAUAUCUCGUUCAUGUGAUAAGUGUCAACGCUACGCAACUAUUCCUCACUCCUCUCCCGAGCCGCUCACUUCUAUGAUCAGCCAUUGGCCCUUCACCCAAUGGGGACUUGAUUUGAUCGGCCCAAUGCCUGCAGGGAAGGGUAAGGUCGGCUAUGCAAUCGUUGCAGUUGACUACUUCACAAAGUGGGCUGAAGUAGAACCCGUGGCAACCAUUACUGAGGCAAAAAUAGAAGACUUCGUAUGAAAGAACAUCCCUUGUAGAUUCGGCAUUCCCAAUGCGUUAGUCAUUGAUAACGGGCGAUAGUUCAACAAUAAUAAGUUCAGGAUGUUCUGCUUUAAGUUCAACAUCAACUUAUGUUUUACCUCCCCAGCUCAUCCCCAGUCUAAUGGAUAAGUCGAAGCCAUCAACAAAAUAAUCAAGCAAACUUUGAAAACCAACUUGGACAAGGCUAAAGGUUGUUGGCCAGAAUUUGUACCCCAAGUUCUUUGGUCAUACCGCACUUCGUAUCAGACAUCAACAGGAGAAACCUCAUUCUCACUUGCUUUUGGUACAAAGGCAGUUAUCCCAGUUAAGCUUGAGCAAGCAACGUUCCGAGUCCAGAACUAUGUGCAAGGCGAAAAUGACAAACAACUUACCCUCAACUUAGAUCUAGUCGAGGAACACAGAAACCAGGCUCACUUGAGGAAUGUCGCCUACAAGCAGCGCAUCUCUAACUACUAUGACUCAAAGGUCAAACCUCGUUCUUUCAAAGUGGGGGAUUGGGUAUUGAAGAAAAGAUUACUCUACGAUAGAGUUCCGAGUGAAGGAACACUUAGUCCAAACUGGGAUGGACCGUUUGAAGUUGUUGGCAUCAGUCACCCUGGCUCCUACAAGCUUAGAAGCUCCGAUGGCAAGACCCUUGGCCAUCCAUGGAACGCUGAUCACUUGAAGUACCAUUACAAGUAAACUCACAUUGUACAAGUGUUAAGCUUUAGCCGUUCGACAUCCUAUGUAACGAAGACUAUUUGGCAUGAAUUCAAUAAAGAUGUGAUUUAGACAACUCGGUCCUAAUCCUCUUACAUUCCUAGCAAUGAAACACUCGGGUUCAAAACUUCAACAUGAAUGCUUCCAACAUGAAACAAAGUCUAAGUAUAUGUCAACAAGACUAUACAAAUAAACGAAGAGCUUCACAGUAUAUUCGUUCAAUCAUACAUUCCAACACAUUCAUACAUAAGCCAACUGUGUUUCGAAAGGGUUCAACAUACUUUGUGUCAUUCGACCCUUACUACAAUGUGCCUUGACACCUUGCCUUUAUUCUCACCGACCAGGUGAUGAAAUGUGAAGAAGGAACCCAUCUUCAUGCCAACAACCAGGUGAUGAAAUGUACAACCUGUACUCUUCUUCAUGCCACCAACUAGGUGAUGAAAUGUACAACGUACUCUAAUAUCAUUUGGCAACUUGCCAUUCAUGCCAUCAACCAGGUGAAGAAGGAACUCAUCAUCGUGUCACCAACCAGGUGAAGAAAUGUGAUGAAAGGUGAUGAAGGAACUCACUUUCGUACCACCAACCAAGUAAUGAAAGCAACUCACCAUUCAUCCCACUUACCAGAAGACGAGUGGUACAACUUGUACAUGUGAACUCCUAGCAUUCACAAAUAAUAAAAAAUCCUCAAGCUUGACAACUCAACUAGGGGGACACUUAUGCCCAACAAGAGUUAUAAUCACCAACAAAGUCUUAUUGCAAGCCAACAACAACUUCAGUGCAUGGCAUAUGAAGAUCAAGUUAUUCAGCCCUCUUGCAUCUGCUUCAGACAUUUCUCCUCUGUAACAAUGCAAACACUACAACUCGUAGAAAGCUUCACACACUCUUGAUCAAGAUAGUGUGAAGCAAAACCAAUUUAUGGUGCCAACAAGAGCUUCAUCAAUGGAGGGCAACCACAAUUCUCAAAAGCUUCACACACUCUUGAUCAUGACAAUGUGAAGCAAAACCAAUUUAUGGUGCCAACAAGAGCUUUAUCAAAGGAGUUCAACCACAAUUCUCAAAAGCUUUACACAUUCUUGAUCAAGACAGUGUGAAACAAAACCAAUUUAUGGUGCCAAAAAGAGCUUCAUCAAUGAAGGGCAACCACAAUUCUCAAAAGCUUCACACACUCUUGAUCAAGACAAUGUGAAGCAAAACCAAUUUAUGGUGCCAAUAAGAGCUUCAUCAAUGAAGGGCAACCACAAUUCUCAAAAGCUUCAUACACUCUUAAUCAAGACAGUUUGAAGCAAAAACAAUUUAUGGUGCCAACAAAAGCUUCAUCAAAGGAGUUCAACCACAAUUCUCAAAAGCUUCACACACUCUUAAUCAAGACAGUGUGAAGCAAAACCAAUUUAUGGUACCAACAAGAGCUUCAUCAAUGGAGAGUAACCACAAUUCUCAAAAGCUUCACACAUUCUUGAUCAAGACAGUGUGAAGCAAAACCAAUUUAUGGUGCCAACAAGAGCUUCAUCAAUGGAGGGCAACCAUAAUUCUCAAAAGCGUCACAUACUCUUGAUCAAGAUAGUGUGAAGCAAAACCAAUUUAUGGUGCCAAUAAGAGCUUCAUCAAAGGAGUUCAACCACAAUCCUCAAAAGCUUCACACACUCUUGAUCAAGACAGUGUGAAGUAAAACCAAUUUAUGGUGCCAACAAAAGCUUCAUCAAUGAAGGGCAACUAUAACUCGUAGAAAAAAAAGCUUCACACACUCUUGAUUAGGACUGUUCGAAGCAAAUUCAAUUUAUAUGGUUCAUCCAAACCUUCGACUACUAUAAGGUGUGGCUUGCAUCAUAAUCUCUUGCUCAACAGUGUAGAAGCAAAAUUUGUAUAUGUUGUCUCUCCCACAUUUUCAAAUUUCUAGUUCCCCCCCCCCCGAAAAAAAAGGAAAUUGGGAAAUUCAACAAAUUUCUAGUUUUCCAAAAAAAAAAAAAAAAAAAAAAAAGGGAAAUUCAACAAAGCUUCAUCAAUGGAGGACAACUACAAAUUCUCAAAAGCUUCACACAAUCUUGAUCAAGAUAGUGUGAAGCAAAAUCAAUUCGUGGUACCCAACAAAGCUUCACCAUAAAAGCUUCACCAACAAAAGUUUCAUCAAUGGAGGACAACUACAAAUUCUCAAAAGCUUCACACUAUCUUGAUCAAGAUAGUGUGAAGGAAAAUCAAUUCAUGUUACCCAACAAAAGCUUCAACUCCUACAAAGCUUCAACACAAAAGCUUCACCCACAAUAGUUUCACCAAUAAAAACUUCACCCAUAAAAGCUUCACCCACCACAAAAGUUUCAUCUACAAAUGCUUCACCCAUAAAAGCUUCACUAACAAAAGCUUCACCCAUAAAAGCUUCAUCCACCACAAAAGCUUCACCUACAAAAGCUUCACUUACAAAAGCUUCACCCACCACAAAAGCUUCACCUACAAAAGCUUCACUUACAAAAGCUUCACCCACCACAAAAGCUUCAUCUACAAAUGCUUCACCCAUCAAAGCUUCACCAACAAAAGUUUCACCCAUAAAAGCUUCAUCCACCACAAAAGCUUCACCUACAAAAGCUUCACCCACCACAAAAGCUUCACCCAUAAAAGCUUCACCAACAAAAGCUUCACUCAUAAAAGCUUCAUCCAUCACAAAAGCUUCACUUACAAAAGAUUCACCCACCACAAAAGCUUCACCCAUAAAAGCUUCACCAACAUCAAGAUAAUGUGAAGCUUUUGUGGUGGGUGAAACUUUUGUUGGUGAAGCUUUUGUGGUGGGUGAAUUUUUUGUUGGUGAAACUUUUGUGGGUGAAGCUUCACCGACAAAAGCUUCACCCACCACAAAAGCUUCACCUAUAAAAGCUUCACCAACAAAAGUUUCACCCACCACAAAAGCUUCAUCUACAAAAGCUUCACCUAUAAAGCUUCAACACAAAAGCUUCACCUACAAAAGCUUCACACUAUCUUGAUCAAGAUAGUGUGAAGCAAAAUCAAUUCAUGGUACCCAAGAAAGUUUCAACCUCAAAGCUUCACCUACAAAGCUUCAACACCAAAGCUUUACCUACAAAGCUUAAAAAAAAAAUAUAUUUUUUCAGAAAUUCGAAAAUUAAAAAAUUCGAAAAUUCGAAAAUUCGAAAAAAAAAAUUCAAAAAACAAAAAUUGCCUAGGCCUCAUCUUUUUUGGGCCUAACAACUUUCAUAACAAAUAUAUAUGAAUGAGGAGUUUUAGGCUACCACUUAGAAAGGAAAUGCCUCAUUCGUCAACUCCCUCGACCGGAGACUUGGGGGACUCCUACCAUGUGCUAUUGCACCUUGAUACUCGGAAGUCUCACAACCACUCAGUGACUUGGAUUUUCAAGUCUCCAACUGAGAAGUUUUCCUCACUCGGGAAAUUAAGGGAGCACUACCUCAACAUACAUGCUUCACUCUUAAAGUUUCAACAUACAAGCUUCAACAAAAGAAAAAAAUUUAAAGAACUUAGUGAAGAAGGCCUUGGUGUAUUUAACACAAUAUGUUGAAAUGAAGCAAAGCUUGUUUAUUGAUAUCUCUGAUAAGUUACAAAUAUGUACAUAUACAUGAAUCAAACUAAACAAACAAGAUGGAGCGUUCUCAAAGGUUGCUCAGGAGAAGUCUCAGCAGUCGGCAGAGCCCUAGAAAGAGGAGGCACCGAAGGGUGAUUAUUCGGAGCCUCAGGACUAGGCAGAACCCCAGAAGGAGGAGGCACCGAAGGUUGAUCAUUUGGAGCUUCAUUAAGCGAUACAGCCCCAGAAGACGAAGGCAAUAAAUGCCUUUGGAACAAACCCACAAACCUUUGAUGAUCAAGUAAAAUUUGACCAUCAGAUUCCUGCAGCUGGUCGAGCUUCCUCUUCAUGUUUGUGGCAUAGUCAUGUGCGAGCCUGUGCAACUGUUUAUUCUCAUGCUUGAGUCAUCAGAUCUCAUCUUUGAGACUUAUCACUUCAGCUGCCAAUGAUUCAACUUGGUGGGUUCGAGUAAAUAGGCGUUGGGCCAUAUUAGACACAGAACCUGCACACUAAACACUGAGAGCCAGAUAAUCCUUAACAGCCAACUCAUCAGAUCGUUUGGAAAGUAGUUUGUUAUCUUUGGGAGUGAGAAGGCUCCUGGCCACCACCGCAACGGUCAUAUCAUUCUUCAUCACAGAGUCCUCAACGGUAAGAGGACCAUAAGGGGAUAAGAAGGAUGGGCGCCAUAUGUUGUCUUGAGAAGGCAUGACUGCCUCUUCACCAAAGUUCAAGUCAAAACGACAGUCGGAUGAGCCAGACAUUCUCAGAAAUGAUGAAGGAGAAAUGAGAUGCAAUAAAUCUCUGAAGUACAAAAAUAAGGGGAAAUGUUUUGCAAGCAAUAACUCUUUGAACGUAGUUCUUGCACACAAUUGGUGCCCCUAUAAAAGAAAGGGCAACAGGGCCAUUGGUUCAAAAAUCGAAGAGGCACCACUCUCCGGAUUUCGAGAAGCAGAAUUUCCUGAGUAAAAUAUGUCGACAAUCCCCACACGCAACAUCAGCUUCUUGGGUACCACAGAUAACUUUGCCAAAGAUCUCUGACAAAGUUUAGACACAUAAAUUUUGAAGGUCCAGGUACCUUACCAUUGCCCAUAAGGGUAAAGAAACAGCAGCACUGCUUGAUAACUGGAAAGUCCCUGUGUGUGUCAACCUCCGUGCUUCUUGGUAAGGCAGACUGGCAAAAAUGCCCAACCAUUACUUACAUUUGAGAAAACACUCAUUGCUUGCUCAAAAAUCGAACAGGCACCGCUUUCCGAAUCUCGAGAGCCAGACUCCAAACAGGAUUACUUGCUCAAAAAUAGAAGAGGCACUGCCCUCCAAUCUCGAGAGCCAUACUCCCAACAGGAUUACUUUCUCAAAAAUCGAAAAGGCACCGCUAUUCGAAUCUCAAGAGCCAAACUCCCAAUAUUAUUGCUUUCUUAAAAAUCAAAGAGGCACCGUUCUCCGAAUCUGGAGAGCCAGAUCCCCAACAGGAUUUCUUGUUCGAAAACCGAAGAGGCACGCUCUCCAAACUUCGAGAGCCAUAUUUCCUAGGAUAAAGCUUGUCUGCAAUCUUCACACACAACAUCAGCUUUGUAGAUACCACAUACCACUUUUUCAAAGUGCUCUGACAAAGUUAAAACACGUGAAGCUUGCAGCUCUCACUACAUUACUAUGACCAAGAAGGGUACAUGAAUAUCAUUACUACUUGUUGUUGGGGAAACUUCUAUAUAUGUCUACCUCUAACCUCAACGGACAGGCAGACCUGCAAAAAAGCUCAACCAUUCCUCAUAUCUGAGAGGGCACUCCCAACGAAGCCUUUUAAAAUACUCAGCUUCCUUUUUUCCCGAUAAUACCUCUGCAAACAAGCCACACCAAAGCAAGAGUAUCUCAUAUCAUUAGGGUUAAAAGCAAGAGUAUCCCAUAUCAUGCUUUUUCCCUGUCUUUUCCUUUGGCCUUGUUCUUACCUGCAAGACAAUGAGAAAAAGAGCAAUCAGUCAGCAUUUGGAAUCAAGCUUCCAGUCAGGAACUGACUACCUGGAACUUCUUGCCUGAGUACUUACCUGGCAUUGCUCUCAAGUACUCAUCUUCAACAUCUUAUACUUCCAGAAAAGAUACUACACAUGCUUGAGGAACAGAUAGGGCAAGUGAGAAGGAUACAAGGAAGCAUGUGGAGACAAGCGCAACAGAACAUGUGCCGAUUCAUCUAUUACUUUGUCAACAGCAAAAGUAUCUCAUAUCAUCAAGGUCAAACACACUCUUGAUUUGAUGGACUUGUUUUGACCCUCAAAUUCUUGAGUUGGCCUUAUACUCUGGAGGAAACCAGAAAACCCUACAGCCCAGUUCAAGAAUAAGCUUGUGGAAAGUUACUUCUUCAAAAGCAAAAGUAUCUUAUAUCAUCACUUCUCCAUUUUCUUCUCUUUAUCUUUUCUGCUGCCUGUAAGAUAGGGAGAAUGAGAACAAUCAGCUGGAACUCGAAAUCAAACUUCUGAUUUGGGACUGAUUACUAGGAGCUCUGAUUGCUUACCUUGUUUGUCACCUUUUUUCGGCAGAUCUCCUAGCUUGGUGACUUAGGGGACUCCUACUACAUUGUUUGUAUCGCGCUUAACCAAGCCUGAAACUACAAGUAAGCUUCAAGUGAAAUUGAUACAUUACCUUGUGCAUCUCCACCGGUUAAAGAUACCACCUCUGGAUGGAGGAAAAGUAGUUCUAGAGAAGAUGCCACAUCUACCUGUGAGAUAGAUAAGGCUAGUGAAAACGAUACCACACUUCGGUACUUAGAAGUUUCGUGAUUACUCAACGACUUGGAUCUUGCAAGUCCCCAACUGAGGAGCUUCCCUCACUCGGGAACUUAGGGGAUCACUGUUUGUACCAUACUUGACCAAUUCUGAAACUACUGAGCACGAGUCAACGUUAUACCGUCAAAGACCCACAAGAGUUUCCCUUUAACCAGGAGGCUAAUCACAUCGCAACACAUGUCGACAUUAGAAGCCAAUUAAAACACGACACGUGUCAAUGUCAAAACAAAGCUAGAAACUCUCUUCUAUAAAAGGAGAUAAUUCUCCCACAAUAUUUCCUAAUGUCAUUUGUACUAAAUCAUUCACUAGUGCUCACUAAAUGAGAGCUUGAACCUAUGUACUUAUGUAAACCCUUCACAAUUAAUGAGAACUCAUCUACUCCAUGGACGUAGCCAAUCUGGGUGAAACACGUACAUCUUGUGUUUGCUUCCCUGUCCCUAUCCAUUUACAUACUUAUCCACACUAGUGACCAGAGCAAUCUUGCGAAGGUCACAAACUUAACACUUUCUGUUGUACCAAAAACCUCACUGAUUUUGUGCAUCAACACAUUUAAGGAACGUGUUCAGAGUAUACAACUAACUAGAACACUAAAGGAAAUAAUAUAAAAUUGAAUGAAAUAAAGGAUGGAUCCUACACCGAGAGGACUCGAAGAUGCUGAUGCGGAAAUGCCUGAACGCCGGGAUUGUAUGCCUUGAUUCUAAGUCUUGAAGGGGGCACAAAACAAACGUGAGUGGUCCAAUUUGAUAUAAUAAUAAUAAUAAUAAUAAUAAUAAUAAUAAUAAUAAUAAAAAAAAAACAGUUAUCAACAUACUAACCCCCAGGUUUUAUGAAAACACAUAUAUCAUGGUAAACAUAGGUUUUUCGAAACCUAGCAUGUCAUGCAAUGUCUUAAAUCAUAACUUAUAUAUAUAAUAAUCACUAGUGAAUUGUUCGAUAACCCUCAGGCCCCAUGCCGGCUCCCCGUCCUUAUGCUAAUAGCCAGAGGAAACACACUCCAGGCCCUAUGCCAACACCAAAUCGUCGCCCGAAAUGAACCGGAAUCUAUCCUUACAUCCCGUAGCGGAAAAGACCACUAGGUAAGUACAAAACCAUUGAACAUAUAUAUAUUGAAAAACAACUUCAUAGUAUAAAGUCAUCCAUCAUCUAUACUAUAAAGAGGUGUUCGAAACAUGUUCUAAAUAUCAAAUCGUCAUCCAUUAGAUAUUCUAUAAGAACACGGGUUAUAGGAAAAAUAGUAGUAAUUUAAUCUAGCCUCAAUAAGCAUGUUAUCUCAAAGCGUUUCAUAGAACAUAAUCAUUAAAUCAUGCUUUUCAUGUAUGCAUUUCUACUAUCAAAACAUGCAUGUUUAGAAGUGUCCACUCAUAGAUAUUUAGCCGCCGAAAAGCCACGUAAACUAGCGAAGACGGAAACGCCACAAUAAUUGCCCCUAAGCACAUAAAAGGUCCAAUUAAUAAAAAUCUAUUAUAACAAUUGAAUUUGGGAAAACGGACGUUGGAAACAAAUUUAGGACGUCGAAUUAACCUAAGAAGGGUCCUGAUUAAAUUUCGUAGAAGUCGAUAGAAGUCAACAGGGGAAUAUUCUGCCGGAUUGGACUUGGGUCUUAAGGGUGUUGGGUUAAGCCUAGGGGUUUUGGGGUUUAGAGGGCACAUGCCUAAGGCCCAAUGGAACAUGGCCCGAAGGCCUUGGGGUUUUUUAAAAAAAAAAAAAAUUUAAUAAACAAAAAUAAUUAAAAAGGUUGGGGUUGGGCUUAGGGCCCCCAACAGCAACAGCCCAAAUGCCUUAAGCCUAAGGGUUUUUGGGUUCUUGAGAGGACGGGCCUAUGACCCUAAAUAAAACGGCCCAAAGGCUUUUUUAUUAAACUAAAUAAGGUUAAAACAAAAUAAAUAAAUAAAUAAAAGAAAUGGGUUUGGGUUGGGCUCGGUAGGAAAGGCCCAAAAGGCCUAUGUUUGAUGGGUCGCCGGACCCAAGGAAGAAGAAGGCCAGAAUUUGGCCGGAAAGUUCCUUAACUUUAAAUAUUCAUAACUUUGUCAAAAAUGAAAUCGAGUGAUUCAAAAACAAAAGUUGUAGUUCUCGAAGAGAUGAAGAGAAUGGUACCUUGCAUGACGUCUAACUCGUAGUAGUUUGACAAGAAAAUGCCUCAAAAGCCUUGGAGGUCGCCGAAAACUGGGAAAGAUUCAAAUGGAUAUAACGUCUUCAAUACUUAACGAAAUUGGGUGAUUUAAAAAGGAAAGUUGUAGUACUCAUGGAGGCGAAGAGAUUGAUACCUUGCAUGCGCGCCAAAUCUCUAUGGUUUGGCUGGAAAUUGGCUCGAACGUGAGGGUUCCUCGUUGGAAUCUGGGAAAGCCUUCCCGAAAAGUUUCUGCGAUGACUCAACAUCCACCACACACAAACAUGGUCAAAGAACGAACUACAAGGAUGGAAGGAAGAGUUUUUGGAGUGUUACCGAGGCUUACCAGCCGUCGGCAAUAUGAGGGACUCGCCGGAGUUCCUCUGUGCUCCACAGACGAACUAAGAGAGGGAAAAAGAGAUAGCUAACGCGGUAGUGAUGGUGAUGAUGUCGUCGUUGAUGAGGUGGGUGUGGACAGGUGUGUGUGGGUUGGUCCUCGGGGGAGAAAGGGUUAAGAGAGUUGUCGACAUGGAGAGAUAAGGGAGAGUGAGGGGGAAGAAAGAACUGAGAGAGAUGGAGAGGGAGCUUGGGAGACAGGGGACAAAUAUCAGGGGUGGGCCCUUUGGGCACACCAUUUAAGACCCAAAAACCAUUUUUUAUAAACUUUUUAAGGGAUAUAUGAAAUUACAUUUUAAUUCAGGGAUGGGUUGUAACAGCAUCUCUGGUGGAUUUCAUCUCAAUCUUAAAUAAAUAUUCUCUCUUUCUCUACCCCAUUAAUAAUUUUCAUGAAUUAAGUAAAACUUAUUUAAUGAGUCAUUUUUUGGUCUAACUAGAACAUCGCGUACAUGUACUGCUAACGCGGUGUUGGCAAUCCUCUUUAAGUUGUCCCCAUAAUGUUAUCAUUAGAUAGAUUAGUAAUACCAUGCCACUUACACACAAAAAUUUUAAUUUUGAAUUUCUAACGUUAGUCACAUGCUAACAUAGUGCUACCAAUCCACUUAAAUGUAAGUUCCUGAGUUUAGUCUAAGUAGUACGGAAUGAUAUAGAUAAUGAACUAUAAUCAGGUUUUAAAUAAUUAAAGAGCACCAAUCACACAUUAUUUGUUAUAAUUUAAAUGAAUUAGUAACACCAGAUCCAUUACUCGCAAAAACAUCUCCCAAGUUAUCAUCCAACUUAUGGUUUACUAAGAUGUGCAUUGUUAUAUGUAGGGGGCAUAUAAACCCUGCAAUCACAUUCGGGCUGUUUUUGGUAAGGAGAGUAUCACUGGUGAGAGCCAUAUUGUACAUGGCGGCUCAGUCGUUUGGAGCCAUAUAUGGUGUUGGGCUAGUGAAAGCUUUCCACAGUUCUUACUAUACCAAGUAUGGCGGAGCCAAUGAGCUUGCCGAUGGCUACAACAUAGGCACUGGAUUGGGUACUGAGAUUCUUGGCACCUUUGUUCUUGUCUACACUGUCUUCUCUGCCACUGAUCCCAAGAGAAAUGCAAGAGACUCCCAUGUCCCAGUAAGUAUAAAUUAAUUUUGCUGCUAUUAAUUUCUAACUACUGACUCUAAUGAUUUGUUUAUGUUGAUUAAUUAAAGGUAUUGGCACCCCUGCCAAUUGGGUUUGCUGUGUUUAUUGUUCACCUUGCCACAAUCCCAAUCACUGGCACUGGCAUCAACCCAGCUAGAAGUCUUGGAGCUGCAGUGAUCUACAACAAUGACAAGGCUUGGAAUGACCAAGUAUGCCUUUCACCUUACUCUCUUAGUUACUAACUUUUAAUAAAAAAUAAAAUUUACGGACGUUAAAUAGACAAUAAACCAUGUAUAUAACUCAAUUUAAUACUCUUUAUUGUCGUCUACUUUUUUAUUUAAUUUUAUUUUUGAUUAAAAGUUAAUAACCAGUUCUAAUUCUUCGUAUUUUUUCUAAUUAUUUACUUAUGUUUGUUGUUUAAUUAUUCAGUGGAUCUUCUGGGUUGGACCAUUUAUUGGAGCUGCCAUUGCUGCCUUAUAUCACCAAUACAUCUGGAGAGCAGGAGCUGUUAAAGCUCUGGGUUCUUUCAGGAGCUCCCCCAACAUAUGAUUUUUAAGAGAUUUAUUGUGUUUUCUCAAUGUUUUGAGAAACUUUGCAUUUCUGGAAGCAUGGAAUUUGUAUAUUAUUACUAUUGUAUAGGUGUUGAGGGUGUCAAUAUUAAGUUACCUUCUGUCUGUGUACAAAAGGCACUUCUUUUAAAUGUGCCUUAAUGUUUGCAUUCUGCUAUUUUUUUUCCCUCUUUCCUUUUAUAACAUGAUUUCAUCUAUUUGUAUGUGUCAUCAAUAUGUUUAAUUAGUGAUGAAUUUUCAGCAAAUGCAUUGUGUUACUGAGUUGGCGCUUCCAUAGGUAAACUUCAAUAGUACAGCAAAGACGUCUACAUGAUAAACAAAAGCAGAACAUCCAAUCAAUUCUUGACAAUUACAAAUAUUCUAAUUCAGAUUUCACGUCAUUCCAACUUCUCCUUAAUUCAAUUCCUCCUUAUUUCAAUUCAUCUCAUUUUAAUUACGGAUCAGUUAACUAGUCAUGAGUGCAAAGUUAUAUUAGGGGCCUUCAUAGUUCUUAGUGGGAAUCUUCUUUCUAAAAAGUAACUGUGAUAAUUGUUGGGUAUCCUUCCACUUUGCAAAUGGGUAAUUGUGACAACCCGUCCCGAAGAUAUGUAUUAUUUUAUUAUCAAGGACGUGAAUUUACUAUUUUACCCCCGGUUAUGAGCGUUGUGGUGUGUUAUGUAUGUAAGUGUUGAAAUGGAUGGAAAGGAAAGAAAAUAAAAAGAAGAAGGGAGGUCACAUGUGUGUGCGUGUGCGUGGCUGGUAGAAGAAAAAUAAGAAGAGAUUGGGCAAAGCUGCCCAACCAGAGGAAGAGAGCAGGAGCUGAGGGGGAGAAAGGAGAGAGAGCUGGCAAAUUAGGAGAAGAGAGAAGGAGAGGAUGGCCAACCAGAAAAGGGGAAGGAGGGAUAAGAGGGAAAAGGAAAAUGAGGGGAACCCUGGGAUCUUUUUCUUGAUUCGUGCGACUCGGUCGAGCUCCAAGGCCGAAUUCACCUAUUUCCCGGCCACUUUCUGAUGAAUUGUCUCGAACCAUGACCUAGAAACAACUUCCUAGCCUUCCCUCUUCCAUUCCCACUCAAAAUUAGAAGGAAUUUGGUGGUAAUUUAUUCAAAAACCGAAAGUGGGUGCCGUGAAGAAAAUUGCUCUAAAUCCACCACUUGUGAAACGUUUUCCUUCAAUUACCACUACCAUUAGACUUCCCUAGAACCUAGGAGCAAAGCCCAAGCAGUGGUGGAGGCUUCGGAACAAGUUUGAAGGUCGAAUCGAAGCACACCAAAUUCUAGGGUCCGCACGGAGUUUGGUGAAAUUGAAGUGCUUCCACGCCAAAUUGGCAUUGGUCAUAGGUAUGAAAGUUGUUCUACUCAUUGAGAUCUUCAAAUCUGAAAAUUUUGGUAAUUUUUAGAAAUAGUUGAAUUUUCCGGCGAGCCAGGACGGCCGACCGCCACCCGCGACGCAACGGCUGGUGCGGUGGCGUGUGGCCUGAGGGCCACCAAUGCUAUUUUUAGACUAUAUGUGAUUUCUUGAAUUCAAUUUUGAGAAGUGAAUUAUGUAGAUUGAUUGUUAGAGCCAAAAUUCUCUAAGAUACGUUAAUAGGCCAUUAUAUGAAUCGACGAUCCAACCGUCGGAUCAUCACCAAACUUUGAUACGUAGUAGUACAUAAUAUUUGAAGAAUGCAGGAACUUAUGGAUCAGGACUUCGAUGGACGGAUCUUCUCGAAUUGGAUUUGUAAGUUCAUAAAAUAAAAUGUUAACCGCCACUUAAUUUUGGAAAUUGGCGGAGAUCCAACCGUCGUAUCGUAAUGAAAUUUUAGUAUGUUGUUCUAGAAGCUUAAUGUGUUUUGGGAAGUGACAGAUCAAAAAUCUGAGUUGUGGAUCUUCCAGAUUUAGUUAUUUGGGGUUAUGACCCUACCGUCGAACUUAGUCGACGGUUGACCUUCGAUCAACUGGUCUCGCAUUAUUCUUGAAUGCCGUUGAGGACAUGUGUUAUGUGAAUUACAUAUUCUAUGGAUAAGAGUUUUGAGAUGUGGUUUGAUAACUGUUUUAGGCACCGAGCGUUCAGGACGUCUUGGUUAUGAUGUUAGGGAGUCAUAGCGCGGACCACAGGUGAGUGGGCAAUUAUUUUCUGUAUAUACCUAUAUACUACUGAUUUUUCCCAGCAAUUGAAUUUAAAUGAAAGUAUGUUUUAAAAUGCCAUGCAUACAUAUUAUAUGAAAUAUAUGAACUAGUAUUUGAUGCAUAUAUGUGAAAUGGUGCUGUGGACGCACAAGUGAGUUUUAUGUUGUUCAUGUGAUUUAUUGAUGAUGGGAAUUGUGUUGAAAGCUCAUAACCUGCACCCCUGGUGUUAGUGCUUAUAUUAUUCACCCCGCACCACUCGCUCACCUUGGAUCCAAGUAGGUGCAUGUCGUACAAACCAUUAGAGGUGGUUCCGACAUGUCGUACAGACCAUUAGAGGUGGUUCUGACUUGUAGGUGACUUUAGAUUGUUAUACAGCUGUUGAUGAGAGAAGCACUAGAGCGUAUUCUUACACCAUUCUUGUCAUACAGACUACUUUAGGUCGUUCCGAUUUAUGUACAGAGUAGCGCCGUACAUGUCACAGUUGGUGACUCUGGUUGGAUUAGAUAUUGAGCUAUAGAAUUAACCGUAUAGGACAGCUGCAGAGUCUCCGGUUGAUUCCUUAUUUCACCUGUUAUAUUGAUGCAUCCUUAUUAUGUUUUGAAGCAUAGCAUGGCUUAUUUCUUGAAAGGUGUUAAAGACAUGUGAUUUGAGUUAUUUGUUGUUAUAUAUGGUUAUAUAUAUACUAUUUCUGGGAAAGUAUACAGGUUUUACAGUGAGGGGUUAGAAGUGUUAUUAAAUGAAAUAUUUUCAAAAAGCUUUGUUUUACUGACCCACUCAAUCUUGUUUUGCGCCCCUCCAGGUUCUAGUUAGCAGUGUUGGUGGCUCACGGGGAUUCCCACGGCGUUCUGACAACCUACUUAAAUGUAGGACUCACCUUUAGGUGUUGUAAUUUAGUAAUGGUCAUACUUGACUGCACCUAGUACUUAUGCUCUGAUUAUGUGUGUUUCACACUUAAACUCACUCUAGCAUGUUAGUUGGAUAUUAUUGCUAGUCAUUGGGUUUUAUUCCUUCGUAUUUCUUUUACCCAUUUUUGCUUCUGCGUCGCACUUUUGGUUACGUCACGCUCACGUAACGGCCUGCACGCCCUGAUUCUAGAAUCGGGGUGUGUUAGUUGGGUAUCAGAGCUUAGGUUGCAGUCCUGUAUAUCUUAAGGAUUCUCUUAGUGUCGUCUAUCAGAACUAUACCGCCUUGUAGAAAGUCACGUCGUUCAGAUGAGCCUAGUUUCCCUGAUAUAACUCAGUUAGAGAAAGCUAUUGUUAAUGUGAUUCAAUUUGUUAUCUGUCCUCCCCUAAGGACUCCUCUUGAAAAUGGUUAUAAGUUGAAACUGAAUCAUUUUAGGAAAUGAAGGACCUGAAGGAGCAGAGCGAUGGCUCGAUUAUUUGGAAAAGACGUUAAGCGUUAUGCAAAGUCAAGGGAAUCUUCCUUUUGAAAGGUGGAUCAAGAUAACUACUUGGUUUCUGAGUAUUGAAUCUGCAUCCUGGUGGAGGCAGGAGGCUUUUUAAUUGAUGCCAGAGGAAAUUGUUGAUUGAGAGUUGUUUAAGGAAUUGUUUAAGAAAAGAUUUAUUCCUCGGCAUGUAUGGAUGAUAAGAAUUAAGAGUUUACAAAUUUGAGACAAGGAAAGAUGUCAACGAAUGAGCAUUAUAGAAGGUUUAUUGACUUGUCUCGUUACCAUUCGGAUGUUGCUGCUAAUCCGGUUGAGAUGUUCCGUCAUUUUAAGCUGAGUAAUAAGAAAAUGUAGUGUUCUUUGGCGAUCAUUACCCAAUGUGUUUCUUACCCGAAGUUUUACGAAAUUUUGUUGAAGACUCUGAGAAUAUGUUCAGCAAUAGUAAUGAAGGAGGGGAAAAGAAUGGGAAUCAGAGGAAAGAUGACAAAAGUAAAGGUUAGUCAUCUCAAGGACUUGAGAAACUUAGAACUUCAGAAGAAGUGAAGUUAUUUUUGGUUUUUCCAGAGGAGGAAUUAGUACCACUAAACAGAUGAGAGGUGGUAAAAAAUUACUGGAGGUCCUAGAUUCCUGAGGCAGGAAGAUAUUAGUAAAGGAAACGUACUUUGUACCGUAGGUACAAUAAUAGUCAAUUUGGAGAGUGUAGGCGAGAAAUCAGCAGAUGUUUUUCAUGUGGACUAAUGGGACACAGAGCUGUAAAUUGUCCCCAGAAUCAGUAGAUGCCCAACAGUCUUCUUUGCCACCACCAAUGCCAUCCAGCAAGUUCCUGGAUCCAUUAGUUAUGGUCAGAUAGGCCGUGGUGUGCGGGGGUGAAGUAAUCAAGCUAUUAGAGGUCGUGAGGGAUGAAAACAAGCCAAUGUUGUGUUAACAUAUCACUGCAAGAUGCUUUGAGUCAUUCGGACUUGAUUAUGGAUAUGUUAAAUAUUUUGGUCACCUUGCCAGAGUUCAUUGGUCGUGAUGCGGAAAUUUGAUGUUUUGGACGAUGUUGCCUAAGAAAGUAAUGAAUGAGUACGAUAGAAGGGUACACAUAUAUUUCCCAAGGAAUGGCAGGAUGUUAAUAUUGCACCCUCAGGAAUCAUUACUUACUUAUCAAGACGACAGCGGGUUAUCAGUAGUACGGUGAUGGUGGAAGAUAUAGUUAUGUCAGUGAAUCUUAUCCCUUUAGAUAUGGUGGAUUUCGAUGCUAUUCUAAGCACAUAUUGGUUGUAUUAUGAUCGUGCCAAUAUAGAGUGCUACUGGAAAUCAGUUACUUUUCAUAGUCCUGGACUACCAGAGGUUACUUUUGUGGGUGAAAAAAAAAAUUGGGGUGAGACAUGGUGUUAUUUCUGCCAUGAGAGCAAAUAAGUUGUUAUCAAAUGGUUGUCAAAGAUACCUAGCACAUGUGGUGUUAAAUGAUGUUGUUCCUAGCAGUGUGGAGGAAGUUAGAGUAAUCAGGCACUAUCCUGAUGUAUUCCCAAAUGAUUUGCCUGGAUUGCCGUCAGACAGAGAUGUGGAGUUUUCGAUUGAUUUGCUUCCAGGUAUGGAUCCUAUAUCUUUGACUCCAUAUAGAAUGGCUCCAGUUGAAUUGAGAGAGUUGAAAAUUCAGUGUGCAGGAAUUGAUUGAUAAAGGUUCCAUUUAACCUAGUACAUUACCUUGGGGAGCCUCAGUUUUUGUUGUGAAAAAGAAUGACGGGACAUUAAGGCUAUGAAUUGAUUAUGGGCUAUUGAAUCGGGUAACGAUUGAGAACCAUUAUCCAUUACCUCGCAUGGAUGGUUGGUUUAAUUGGCUUCGAGGUGCCUAUGUAUUUUCAAAGGUUGAUUUAAGGUUUGGUUAUUAUCAGUUGAAGUGUAGCAGUGAGGAUGUUCCUAAGAUUAAUUUCAAGACUCGUUGUAGUCUUUAUGAGUUUUUGGUGACAUCAUGCGAAAUGACAAAUGUGCUUGCUGCUUGUAUAGGUUUGAUGAAUCAAGUAUUCCAGCAAUAUCUAGACAGGUUAUUAUUGUUUUCAAUUCGAGUAUAUUCUAAGUUGAAAGUAAACCAUGUUCGACAUAUUAACUUGGUAUUAAGGAAAUUGAGAGAACAUCGGUUGUAUACCAAGUUUAGUAAAUGCCAAUGUUGGAUGAAUCAAGUGGCAUUUCUGGGGUGUGUGAUAACUGUUCAAGGUAUUCAGGUGGAUCCUUAAAAGAUAGCAGCGGUGGAGAAUUGGGAACUAGUGUGAACUGUGAGUGAGGUACGGAGCUUUCUUGGCUUAGCAGGCUACUAUAGACUGUUGUUAAGAGUUUUUUUAGUCAUUGCCUUGCCAUUUAUGAGUUGAAGAAUAAAAGGUUAAGUUUGAGUGGGAUGAAAAUUGUAAUCAAAGUUGUCAGCAGCUGAAGAAUUAUUUCAUUUAUACGCUGAUUUUAACACCCCCAGAUGAUAGUGAUGAUUUUGUGGUCUACAGUGACGCCUCGUUGAAUAGUCUUGGAUAUGUGUUGAUACAACAUGAUAGGAUGGUUGCUUAUGCUUCACGGCAAUUGAAACCUUAUGAAAAGACUUACCCUACUCAUGACUUGAAAUUUACAACCAUCAUCAUUGCUUGAAAUUAUGGAGACACUAUAUUUAUGGUGAGAAUUAAUGCUUGUUAUGCUGGUCAUGUUUCUCUUCUUGCGAACUUGAGAUCUUCUGGAGUGAAGCUUAAGGUGAAAGAACGAGAAGAAGCUUUAUUGACUAAUUUAUAGGUCAAGCCAAUUGUAGUGGAUCGUAUACUCGAUACCCAGAUGAUUGAUGACGAAAUUCAAGAAUUAAUCGAGGUAAGAAACGACGGGAAAAGGAAAGACCUUAGAGUUAGAGAAUCAGGUGACAUGUUUAUGCAAGGGAACGGGAUGUGUGUGCUUAAUGAUGUGGAAUUAAGAAAGCAAUUUUGAAUAAAGCACAUAAUUUAGCUUAUGCGAUGCAUACUAGAGGUACAAAAAUGUAUAAUACCAUUCGACCAUUUUAUUAUUGGCCAGGUAUGAAAAGAGAAAUUGCUAAAUAUGUUACCAAAUGUACCAAUUGUCGACAAGUUAAAGCAAAAAGGAAGAAAUUUUGGAUUAAUGCAGCCACUUCUUGUUCCACGGUGGAAAUGAGAAAAUAUUACGAUAGAAAAGAGAUUUGGGCUUACGGAUCUGUUGAACUUCUUGGGCAUGUUAGUCUCGUCAGAUUCCCAGAAGUAACACCAUAAGGCCCAAGAAAGCUGUGUCAUGUGUUUCAGAAUUUUUGAACUUAUGGACGGAUGGUAUUUGGGGAGCAAAGGUUCAAUCACGAACGGUUCGAAAAUGUAAGGCCCUGAGUUAGUGGAAGAGACUACUCAGAAUAUUCAAGUAACUAAGUCUAAACUGAAAGCGGCCAUGAUCGCCAAAAGAGCUUAACGGUCAGACAUGCUACAGACAGGGUGUAUAAUGUUGAUGAUUGAGCGUUUUUAAAUUAUCACUGUGUGAUUCGGUUUGAAAGGGAAGACGAGUUAAGUUCUAGGUACAUCGGACCUUAUGUGAUUACCAAGCAAAUCGGUGAAAUGUUUACAAGCUUGAGUUGCCUCCAGAGUUGUCGGAAGUGCAUGAUGUAUUUCAUGUUUCGAUGCUUCGCCAUUAUAUCUCAUAUCCUUCACAAGUAGUACCUCCUCAACCUUUGCAAGUUAAUCCAGAUUUGAUUUAUGAUGAGGAACCUGUGGCACUUUUGGAUUGGAAGGAUAAGGAACUAAGAAAUAAGACCGUGCGUUUGGUGAAAGUAUUAUAGAGAAAUCUUUCAGUGGAAGAAGCUACUUGGGAGAUAAAGGAUCGGAUGAAAGAGACGUAUCCACUCUGGUUUUAUAAUUAUUAGUGGAUGUAAUUGUUAUGUAUAAUUUCAAGGACGAAAUUUUAUAAGGUGGGGAGAUUGUGACAGCCCAUCCCGAAGAUAUGUAUUAUUUUAUUAUCAAGGACGUGAAUUUACUAUUUUACCCCCAGUUAUGAGCGUUGUGGUGUGUUAUGUAUGUAAGUGUUGAAAUGGAUGGAAAGGAAAGAAAAUAAAAAGAAGAAGGGAGGUCACGUGUGUGUGUGUGCGCGCGUGGCUGGUAGAAGAAAAAGAAGAAGAAGAGAUUGGGCAUAGAUGCCCAACCAGAGAAAGAGAGCAGGAGCUCCGGAGAGAAAGGAGAGAGAGCUGGCGAAUCAGGAGAAGAGAGAAGGAGAGGAUGGCCAACCAGAAAAGGGGAAGGAGAGAAAUGAGGGAGAAGGAAAAGCAAGGGAACCGCCGGGUCUUCUUCAUGACCCGCGUGACCCGGUCGAGCUCCAAGGCCGAAUUCACCUAUUUCCCGGCCACUUUCCAAUGAAUUGUCUCGAACCAUGACCUAGAAACAACUUCCUAGCCUUCCCUUUUCCAUUCCCAUUCAAAAUUAGAAGGAAUUUGGUGGUAAUUUAUUCAAAAACCGAAAGUGGGUGCCGUGAAGAACAUUGCUCGAAAUCCACCACUUGUGAAAUGUUUUCCUUCAAUUACCACUACCCUUAGACUUCCCUAGAACCCAGGAGCAAAGCCCAAUCAGUGGUGGAGGCGUUGGAACAAGUUUGAAGGUCGAAUCGAAGCACACCAAAUUCUAGGGUCCGCACGGAUUUUGGUGAAAUUGAAGUGAUUCCAAGCCAAAUUGGCCUUGGUCACAGGUAUGAAAGUUGUUCUAAUAAUUGAGAUCUUCAAAUCUGAAAAUUUUGGUAAUUUUUAGAAAUAGUUGAAUUUUCCGGUGAGCAGGGGCAGCCGACCGCCACCCGCAGCGGCCUGAGGGCCGCCAAUGCUAUUUUUAGACUAUAUGUGAUGUCUUGAAUUCAGUUUUGAGAAGUGAAUGACGUAGAUUGAUUGUUAGAGCCAAAAUUCUCUAAGAUACGUUAAUAAGCCAUUAUAUGAAUCGACGAUCCAACUAUUGGAUCGUCACCAAACUUUGAUAUGUAGUAUUACGUAAUAUUUGAAGAAUGCAGGAACUUAUGGAUCAGGAAUUCGAUGGACGGAUCUUCCCGAAUUGGAUUUGUAAAUUCAUAAAAUAAAAUGUUAACCGCCACUUAGUUUUGGAAAUUGGCGGAGAUUCAACCGUUGGAUCGUAACGAAAUUUUAGUAUGUUGUUCUAGAAGCUUAAUGUGUAUCUUUGGAAGUGACGGAUCAGAAAUCUGAGUUGUGGAUCUUCCAGAUUGAGUUAUUUGGGGUUAUGACCCUACCGUCGAACUUAGUCGACAGUUGACCUUUGAUCAAUGGGUCUCGCAUUAUUCUUGAAUGCCGUUGAGGAUAUGUGUUAUGUGAAUUACAUAUUCUAUGGAUAAGAGUUCUGAGAUGUGGUUUGAUAACUGUUUUAGGCACCGAGCGUUCGGGACGCCUUGGUUCUGAUGUUAGGGAGUCGUAACGCGGACCCCAGGUGAGUGGGCAGUUAUUUUCUGUAUAUACCUAUAUACUACUGAUUUUUCCUAGAAAUUGAAUUUAAAUGAAAGUAUGUUUUAAAAUGCCAUGCAUACAUAUUAUAUGAAAUAUAUGAGCUAGUAUUUGAUGCAUAUAUGUGAAAUGGUGCUGUGGACGCACAUGUGAGUAUCAGGUGAGUUUUAUGUUGUUCAUGUGAUUUAUUGAUGAUGAGAAUUGUGUUGAAAGCUCAUAACCUGCACCCCUGGUGUUAGUGCUUAUAUUAUUCACCCCGCACCACAGGCUCACCUUGGAUCCAAGUAGGUGCAUGUCGUACAGACCAUUAGAGGUGGUUCCGACUUGUAGGUGACCUUAGAUUGCUAUACAACUAUUGAUGAGAGAAGCACUAGAGCAUAUUCUUACACCAUUCUUGUAGUACAGACUACUUCAGGUAGUUCCGAUUUAUGUGCAGAGUAACGCCAUACAGGUCACAGUUGGUGACUCCGGUUGGAUUGGAUAUUGAGCUAUAGAAUUAACUGAACAGGACAGCUGCAGAGUCUCCGGUUGAUUCCUUAUUUCACCUGUUAUAUUGAUGCAUCCUUAUUAUGUUUUAAAGCAUAGCAUGGCAUAUUUCUUGAAAGGUGUUAAAGACAUGUGAUUGAGUUAUUUGCUGUUAUAUGGUUAUAUAUAUACUAUUUAUGGGAAAGUAUACAGGUUUUACAGUGAGGGGUUAGAAGUGUUAUUAAAUGAAAUAUUUUCGAAAAGCUUUGUUUUACUGACCCACUCAAUCUUGUUUUGCGCCCCUCCAGGUUCUAGUUAGCAGUGUUGGUGGCUCACGAGGAUUCCCACGGCGUUCUGACAGCCUACUUAAAUGUAGGACUCACCUUUGGGUGUUGUAAUUUAGUAAUGGUCAUACUUGACUACACCUAGUCCUUAUGCUCUGAUUAUGUGUGUUUCACACUUAAACUCACUCUAGCAUGUUAGUUGGAUAUUAUUACUAGUAGUUGGUUGGUUUUUAUUCCUUCGUAUUUCUUUUACCCCUUUUUGCUUCCGCGUCACACUUUUGGUUACGUCACGCUCACGUGACGACCAGCACGCCCUGAUUUUAGAAUCGGGGUGUGUCAGUAAUAGUCUAACACAUACAAUUCUCUUUGUAUUCGAAAAAAGAAAUUAAUAGUUCUCUUUAAUUAUAAUUUUGAUUGUUUAAGCAGUUAUAAGAAAUACUGUGUAUUUGUUUAUCUAAUGAAAAUUAAUCGAUGAAAUGAAUUUUGAUUCAAUUUUUUCUUUAGAGUAAUAUCUAGGGAUACCCAAAAAAGGACAUUUUGGACGCUUUUGGGAAGUGCAGGUGUUGAUGAAUUGGAGGUUAGCAGUAGUUGUUGAAGUUUACAUUUACACACACAAUUAAUCUGGGGAGUGACUCCAAUACUCAACUUUGAUUGUAAAUUUACGAAAUGUUAAUGUAGAUGAAGGUGAUGAAAGUAUAUAAUUUAUUUUUUCAAAUCUCACUCGUUGAUAUCACAUUGUAUGCAUCUGCAGUUUGUAAAUUUUUUGUAAUAAAGUUUGUCUCUCUAUUAUUAUUGUGUGUGAGAAGUCGAAGAUCAUCUAAAAAUGAUUGGAGUUUUGGAACAAAUAAUGCACGCACAUAAAUAGGAACAGGCUUUUGUUGUAUGUAGGAAUUAAAGCAAUUUGGUGGACAGUGGAGUACACCACAUAGACUGGUCAUUAAGAUUCAAGGUGAAUUACUUUUUAAGAAAAACUAACGAAAAGUUUAAAAAAAAAAAAUUUUUAACGAAAAAUUCAUUUUAAAGGUAUUGUAAAUAGUUGAGUACUUAAUUUCAACUCCUAUAAAAAGCCACCUUCAUCUUCAUUCCCUUCAUCCCAAAAUCCCACGGCCCUCACUCGACAAUCUACUAGAAAACCCUAAUUAACAAUCUGCCACAAAACCCCAUUUCUCUUCAUCUCUUUCCAGAAGCACUUUUGAGUAAAAAGCCACUUCUGUAACUUUCAGCUUGGAAUUAGGCAGCUGAUCACAGAGCACGAAGUUAAUUAAGAAGCCUUUUUGUUUGAUCAAUAAUUGCAAUGGCAAAGCAGAUGCAGAUGAGAUUGUUGUGUUCUUGGAUGGAAGUUGCACCUACAAUUUUGAUAUCCCACAACAAGACUUCAACUUGUCCUGAAUUGGAAACAAUAACCGAAGAGUGGGAUCUGGAGGCUGAGGAGAAAGACCUGCAGGAGUCCAAAAAAUGAACAUCUUCUUCUCAUGUCAUGGCUGUUAAUAUAUAUCUUUCUUCUUUUUUUUUUCAGUUUUUGUGCGAGUUUGUAGAAGUUUGUGGACUUGGGUCGGACUAAAAUUUUGAGAUUAUGUCCAAACAAAUUAAUAAUAGUUUCAAUGGCAUUGGCUUCCAUCUUAUAAGUUACUUCUCAGGGAGAAACAAAUGAUGCCGUUGUUUUACAAGUUGUAAUAUUAUGUUUAGAAUUUUCGAAGGGUUUCAUUCAUAUUAAUUCAUUAGGUGUGACAAUUACAUAUGAGAAGACUGUUCCUGCACGAGAAUAUGAACAUAGAGUAAUUGGAGAAAUGUGGAGCUAGUCAUUUCUCCUUCAGUAUUUAAUAGUUAGUACUCUUGCUAUAUUGGUUCUCUUUCUUUUGAUAAAAUGUAAGUAAAGCAAGUGGAUUGCCUGAUUAGGGUAUUUUUGUCCGAUACACUGUUAGUUCUUGCUCAAACUCCUCAUUUUCUUAAUAUAAAUUAGUGUAGAAUAUCGUUUGUAGUAAAAAAGAAAAGGUGCAAGUAAAGGCAUAAUUGGAAUUUUAUCAAAAGGAAUUGGAAAGGUGGAUUUUCUAAAUCAAGUCACUUUUGUCACCCUUUCAACCUUAAAAACAAGAAGCCUCACUUUGAAUUCAAACCAAACAAUUGAAGUUUGAGUUCAUAUUUUGUGUUGACAUUACAUCUAUAUAUUUAAAGAUGUCAUUUCAUGCAUGAUUCAGUAUAAGUUCUAAAACAAAUCUUAAAAACGUGUUCUAAAGGACAUUACCGAAAAAAUAAAAAAACAAUAAAAUGUUAAAAGACAGUGUGCUAGUCCCACGAGAACCUAC